GCCGCGCGCCGCGCGCCGUCGAGGUCCCCGCGUCGCCGCCCUCUGCCUUUCGUAACUCGGCGCGGGGUCUGGGUUUGCAGGGCUUUGAAAACGAGCCCCCGGCGCCUUGCGCCCUCUCUUCCGGCGCUCUGGCCGCAGAUUCGGGUAGCGCCGGCCACCGUGGACCAUUUUUCUUUUUUUCCUGCUUCGCGGCGUUCCAGGAUUUUCUCUUCCGGGUCGCUCUGAGGCACGGUCAGGGGUGCCAGCAUUCCCGGUUUGGCAUUGAACCCUCGGACUCUGCAAACACCAUUGAGGGGAAGCCCCCUUUUGCGCGUGCGCCGCGCCUCCUGAGGCCGGGAGCUAAGUCGGGCUGGCAGGGCCAGGUGGCACAUAAGCUCUGCCUCUGGGUUUCUAUUUGGCGUCAUCCGUGUGCAGAGGCGGCUGAGAUUUCGGCAACACAACAGCCUGGCCUUGACUGCAGCUCCAUCCCCAGCUCGAAUGGAGCUCUUACCCACCCCGACCCCAGCUACAGCAUCCGGUGGAUGGGAGGGGCUGGAAUCAUGCAAACUUGUGCAAGAAAACCAUCAUACAUCACAGCGCGUGUCCUCAUCUUUCAACAAACAUGUAAUAAACACAUCAACCUGUUUUGCCACUGAAACUCAAGAGCUCAGAACUGUCAACUACUGUGAAAUCUUCUACAGUCAAGAAUGGGACUCUGCUUUACUCUCUGAUUUUAAGUUAAGAACCACAUGCUUGGAAGCUAAGUAUGAUCACCUCACAGCUAGGGAAAACUCAGAACUUCAUGCUCAUUUCUUCUUUGAUUCUUUUUUCUUUCUUUUAUUUAUUUAUUUAUUUUUUGGUCUUUUUGCCAUUUCUAGGGCCGCUCCCGUGGCAUACAGAGGUUCCCAGGCUAGGGGUCUCGAAUUGGAGCUGUAGCCACCGGCCUAUGCCAGAGCCAUGCAACGCAGGAUCCAGAGCCACGUCUGCAACCUACACCACAGCUCAUGGCAACGCCAGAUCCUUAACCCACUGAGCAAGGCCAGGGAUCAAACCUGCAACCUUAUGGUUCCUAAUCAGAUUCAUUAACCAUUGAGCCACGACGGGAAGUCCUGAUCCUUUUUUCUUAUAUUGACUGUCCUUCUGGAAUUAUUUUCCUUUCUCUGAAGUACUCCCUUAUAAUUUCCUUUAGGACAAGAUUUUUGACAGUAGACUCUCGGUUAUUGUUUAUUUCUAAAUGAUUUUACUACUUCAUGAAGGUGGUUUUUCUGGUUAAAAAAGUUUACAUUGACAAUUACUUUAUCUUCACACCUUGAAGAUAUUAUUCCACUGCCUUCUGGAUUCUGUUUUUGAGGUGGAAAAAUCUGCUGUCAUUUUUAUUGUCAUUCCUUGUUAGGUGAUCCAUCCUUUCUUUCUGGCUGCUUUAUCAACCUUACCUUUGUAUUUGUUGUUUUUCAACUUUAUUAUAAUGUCUAGCAUGAAUUUGUUUUUCUUUUUCCUACUCGGAAUAUCUUGGACUUCCUAGAUCUGUAGAAUUCAUAUUAUCUAUUAGCUAUAAUACAUUCCAAGACAUAAUAUUUUAAAACAAUGUCUAUCCUUAUUUUUUCAAUUCUAUCUUUGUGGGAAACUGAUAAAUGCAUGAUAAACCUAUCAUGUAUGGUCCAUAUCUUGUAACCUCUCUUUUAUAUUUCUCAUCUUUCUAUGUAAUGUGGCAAUUUUUUUGCAUAUAUCUUAUGUUUCAUUGAUUGUUUUUUCAGUUAUACCUAAUCUGGUUGUGUAACUCUACCCUUUGAUGUAAAAAAAAAUCAAGUUCUCUUUAUGCUGUGAUCUGAAUGUUUGUGCCCCCCUAAAACUCAUAUAUUGAAACCCUGAGUCCAAAAGAUGAUGGUAUGAGGAGGUGAGGGCUUUGGAAGGUGCUUGAGUCAUGAGGGUGAAGCCCUCAGAAAUGGGAUUAGCACUUUAUCAAAGAAGCUCCAGAGAGAUCCCUACUCCCUUUUGCCACUGGAGGAUAUGACAAGUCUGUGAUCUGGAAAUGGGUGCUCACCCAGUCAUGCUGGAACCCUAAUUUUGAAUUUCCCGCCUCCAGAACCAUGAGCAACAAAUUUCUGCUGUUUAUAAGCCAUUCAUUCUGUGAUAUUUUGUUGUCACAGCCUUAAUGGGCUAAGGCAGCUUGUUAACUUGUUUGUUUUCAAUCUGAACAGAUAAUACAUUCACAUGAAUACAAGUUCAAAAUGUACCAAACAUUAUCCAGGGAACUCUCUUCCAUGUUCCCCUACUCCCUUCCCAGCCCGCUGCCCUCCACUGCAGUCCUCUGAAUUGUCAUUUCCAAUGACUGACUCUUGGCCCACAUGUUGCUGCUUGAACCUCAGGGCCAUUCAGUGGGCCAGUCACACCUCCUGUCUCUAGGGCACCACCCUCCUCUGUGCUCCCGGGCACUCCCCAAUCCUCCCCAGCCUCCCUUGCUAGGUUCUUCUUUCAUCACUAAUGUUAGUAUUGAAGAAGACCGGGGCUCACUCCUUGACCUUAUUCUCUUUUCUAUCUACACUAUCUCAUCUCUUACUGCUGGUUAAUCUCAUCAAGUCCAUAGAUUUAGAUGCCGUCUAUAUAUUCACAAUAGUCAAGUUGGUAUUUCCUGCCUAAAUUCUUCAUCCAAACUUGAGACUUCACCUGCUUGACACUUCCACUUGGAUAUCUAGUAGACAUCUCAAAACGAACAGGUCGAGGCGUUUCCUUUAUAGCUCAGUGGUAACAAACCUGACCAGGAUCCAUGCAGACAGGGUUUCCAUGAUCUCUGGCCUCGUUCAGUGGGUUAAGGAUCCAGCAUUGCCAUGAGCUGUGGUGAAGGUCCCAGACGCAGCUCAGAUCUGGUGUGGCUGUGGCUGUGGUGUAGGCUGGCAGCUACAGCUCCGAUUAGACCCCUAGCCUGGGAACUUCCAUAUACCACAAGUGCAACCCUAAAAAAACAAAAUAAAAUAAACAAACAAAAAAACCUAACAGGUCAAAAACAAGACUGUCGAUUUUCUCUCUCACAAAUCUGAUCUAAUAUUCUUCUCUAUUUUAGGGGAAGGAAAUUGUAUCCUUCCUGAUUCCCUGGCUUUAAGACCCACAUGCUGCUGAAAUCUUGGAACUCUUCACCUUUGACAUUUUUGGCAGUCUGUUUGGCCUAGAAUGAUAUCAUUUUAUUUUAACUUUAUUUUUCUGACUACUUAUGAUUUUGAGCCCAUGUAUGAGCUGUCUUUGGUUCUCAUAUGUGUAUUGCCUAAUCAUUUCCUUAGCCCAUUUAUUUGUCUCUUGGGGUAUUCCUAUUUUUGUCCUGUACCAUUUUGUGUUAUGAUGUAGAGCUCAGCGCCUGAUCUCAGGGUGCACUAUUUUAAGUUUCUAAAGGACAAGAUUGUGGAAUUUACUAUGAAAACCAACAUUAAUUAUUUGGGGGAACAGAAAGGCAUCUUCAUUGUUUCCACUUACAUUAAAUCUUUAGUGGCCCAACUUCCCAAUUAUCCAAGACCAUCUGAGCCGUGUGCCAAAGGAGGUGCCUAUUUCCCACUUCUUAGCAUUUUUCUUAGAAUGUGAGUCAAGCAGACGGCUUUCAGACGUCCUGCUGACUGGGAUUCUGGCUCGUUCUCAUGUCCCAUUUCCUGCUCUUCUCCUGUUCUGAUUUCUAAGCAGGUGUCAACCCCAAAUCAGAAUAAUUAUAUGGAUCACAGAACUAAUGUCCUCAAUUCUGCUUUGUGACACUUGAAAUGGAAUAUUCUCGACUAAUAGUUUGAUGAGAAAAACAUCUGUUGGGUUUACAUUCCUACUGAUGCUGAAUGACUUGAAAACUUCUCUUGCAGCUUGUUGUCUGGAUUCUUAGGGGAUUAUCUUGGGAAUCACCUUCUAGCAUAGAUCCUUGCGCUCCACCUGGUAUAUGCUCAGAGGCAGUGUUUGCUGUCUCUCAACACAUAGUAUCUAAAUGCUGCCAAACCUCAGGACUCAAGAAAACAUCUGGAGGGCUUGGUGGGUUCUUAAGCAGUCAAUCAGAUGAGUUAAGGUAUUACAUUGAGAUGGCCCCAGUGAUUGAGUGCUGACUUAUUCGCAGGUGCAGGGGUGGAGUGGUGUAGAAAAACUAAAAUUAAGAAGAAGCUUGAUGGAGGAUAGUGUGAGAAAAAGAAUGGGUACAUGUAUGUGUGUGACUGGGUCACUUUGCUGUAUAGUAGAAAUUGACAGAACACUGUUAACUAACUAUAAUGGAAAAAAUAAAAA
rnacentral:lncRNA from 1 species